rfam:Rhodobacterales bacterium RIFCSPHIGHO2_02_FTLL_62_130 rifcsphigho2_02_scaffold_1438, whole genome shotgun sequence.
GGCGUAUUUUGCACAGGCGGAGCUCGACCGCCCGUUUCGCAAAUGACUGCUUUCAUUGAAGAACACCGCGGAACAUAUGGGGUCGAGCCGAUCUGCCGGACACUGCAGUUCGCCCCU